GAAGAAGAAGAAGAAGAAGAAGAAGAAGAAGAAGAAGAAGAAGAAGAAGAAACCACCUAAAAUUUUACUCAUAAUUUAAGGAUCACAAGAUACUUUUUUCACAACAACCUUAUGAACUGAAUGGAAGAUGGACUGGAAUGGGAAGAGAUUUGAGGAAGGUUCACCUGCCAGAACACUAAUGCAAUAGUCCAGAUGUGAGGUGAUGAGAGUUUGCAGCUGUGACAGAGGAGAUGGGGAGGACAAUUUGACAGAUGUUGUUAAAGUAAAAAUGACAGGACAUGGAAACAGAUUGGCUAUGUUAGGAGACAUAAUGAUGAUUCAUAUCAAAACAUAUGCUUACUCCAAACCUCAGAGGAAACUUGAGGUCACUGUUCCUGAACUUCGGCCUGCUGGGAAGAGGAGAGGGAAUUUUGAAUUCCCUGGAGCAAAAUCCCAGAAGUUAUCCUUUUAACCACAGAAGGAUAAUUUCCUGGGUAGCAUCAACUUUAUUGGGAAUACCUCUUGAGUGAUCCCAAGUUCAAGAGUGUCAGGGAUCAGACUUCUGAGAAAGAGAGAUUUCCUGAUGCAGAUCUUCUGAUGCUCCUUAGGGAAAGGAAAGGAAAACCAAUGAAUU